UACGUAGGGUGCAGGCGUUAAUCGGAAUUACUGGGCGUAAAGCGUGCGCAGGCGGUCUCUUAAGACAGGUGUGAAAUCCCCGAGCUUAACUUGGGAACUGCGCUUGUAACUGAGAGGCUAGAGUGUGGCAGAGGGGGGGUGGAAUUCCACGUGUAGCAGUGAAAUGCGUAGAGAUGUGGAGGAACACCGAUGGCGAAGGCAGCCCCCUGGGCUAACACUGACGCUCAUGCACGAAAGCGUGGGGAGCAAACAGG
rnacentral:rRNA from 1 species